rnacentral:rRNA from 1 species
GCACCUGCGGUAAUUCCAGCUCCAAUAGCGUAUAUUAAAGUUGUUGCAGUUAAAAAGCUCGUAGUUGAACUUCUGUACAGUCUCACUUCUGGCUUCGGUCAAGGUGUUGGCUGUGCAUCCGCUUGCAAAGCUGGUUCGGCCUUAACUGGUCGGCUAGUAGAGUAAGCCCUUUACUUUGAAAAAAUUAGAGUGUUUCAGGCAGGCAAUGGCUCGAAUACAUUAGCAUGGAAUAAUGGAAUAGGACUUUUGUCCAUUUGGUUGGUUCUUGGACUUAAGUAAUGAUUAAAAGGGACAGUUGGGGGCAUUGGUAUUUAACAGUCAGAGGUGAAAUUCUUGGAUUUGUUAAAGACUAACUUAUGCGAAAGCAUUUGCCAAGGAUGUUUUCAUUGAUCAAGAACGAAAGU